AUUGAACGCUGGCGGCAGGCCUAACACAUGCAAGUCGAACGAGUGGCGGACGGGUGAGUAAUGUCUGGGCAACUGCCCGAUGGAGGGGGAUAACUACUGGAAACGGUAGCUAAUACCGCAUACCAUCGGAUGUGCCCAGAUGGGAUUAGCUAGUCGGUGGGGUAAAGGCUCACCAAGGCGACGAUCCCUAGCUGGCCUGAGAGGAUGACCAGCCACACUGGAACUGAGACACGGUCCAGACUCCUACGGGAGGCAGCAGUGGGGAAUAUUGCACAAUGGGCGAAAGUCUGAUGGAGCCAUGCCGCGUGUGUGAAGAAGGCCUUCGGGUUGUAAAGUACUGUCAGCGAGGAGGCGUUACUCGAAGAAGAAGCACCGGCUAACUCCGUGCCAGCAGCCGCGGUAAUUC
rnacentral:rRNA from 1 species